GGGGACGAGUGGUUUCGACAGGGGAAAUGGGCGACUCAGGAUUGCAGGCCGAGGUGCCAUCCACCCUCGUAAAACCGGUGGCAAAAACAUAAAUGGCAACGCUUUGCCUGUAGCGGCCUAAUUUAGCAUUAGGCCACGUUCAACCCCACCCCUCCCCGGCGGGUGGGGAUUGGGCGACGAAAGGUCGGGGUGCAACGAUCCCGAUGACGGUAGGGGUUGCUCAAGCAUAACCGUCUGGCCGGGCCGCACUCAGCCAGUUGAGGGCGGGACCAGGCGAGAAAAGGAGCUGGCUAAGCCUGUAGCAUAUCCCGGGCGGAUUUCUUCUGGACGGGGAGUUCGACUCUCCCCCGUCUCCACCA
rnacentral:tmRNA from 1 species